rnacentral:tRNA from 1 species
GGGGGUAUAGCUCAGUGGUAGAGCAGAGCAUUCGACUGGAGAUCGAAAUGUCCCCAGUUCAAAUCUGGGUGCCCCCU